rnacentral:rRNA from 1 species
CGACCGGCGCACGGGUGAGUAACACGUAUCCAACCUGCCGAUGACUCGGGGAUAGCCUUUCGAAAGAAAGAUUAAUACCCGAUGGCAUAGUUCUUCCGCAUGGUAGAACUAUUAAAGGAUUUCGGUCAUCGAUGGGGAUGCGUUCCAUUAGGUUGUUGGCGGGGUAACGGGCCCACCAAGCCUUCGAUGGAUAGGGGUUCUGAGAGGAAGGUCCCCCACAUUGGAACUGAGACACGGUCCAAACUCCUACGGGGAGGCAGCAUG